rnacentral:rRNA from 1 species
CAGUCGCCGCGGUAAUACGGAGGGUGCAAGCGUUAAUCGGAAUUACUGGGCGUAAAGCGCACGCAGGCGGUCUGACAAGUCAGAUGUGAAAUCCCCGGGCUUAACCUGGGAACUGCAUUUGAAACUGUCAGGCUGGAGUCUUGUAGAGGGGGGUGGAAUUCCAGGUGUAGCGGUGAAAUGCGUAGAGAUCUGGAGGAAUACCGGUGGCGAAGGCGGCCCCCUGGACAAAGACUGACGCUCAGGUGCGAAAGCGUGGGGAGCAAACAGGAUUAGAGACCCCGGUAGUCCCUGUCUCUUAUAA